rnacentral:lncRNA from 1 species
AAACAUCCACAUAAGUCAAAACCUUGUAACGCCCAACUGACUCAAUAGUUUUGAGUUGGUAUAAGUCUAAUCUCUUAUAUAGGGAUCCUAAAUACAGUGGAGCAAGAGGAAAGCGUAUUCCCUUAACAAUUUUUAUUGCUAAAGGAACAACUGCUGAGGAGAUACCAUCAUCUGGACACCCUGGGAGUACGUGUCAUGCCAACCCAAAAAUUAUUAAAGCUACUAGCUCAUACUUAUGGUCUGGGUACUCA